rnacentral:rRNA from 1 species
UGGGAUUAGAUACCCCACUAUCAUGAACAGUAAUUCGGUAAUCUUAGUAUUAAUAGUUAUGAUCUUUAAAUUAAAAGAAUUUGGCGGUAAUUUAGUCUGUUCAGAGGAAUCUGCCCUGUAAUUGAUAUUCCACGAUGAAUUUUACUUUAUCUAUGCUUGUAUAUCUCUGUCAUUGAAUGUCCUAUUAGGGUAUUUUCUUUAAUCUUUAAUGUGUAAGAUGUCAGGUCAAGGUGCAGCGAUGGUAAAGAAGAGGUGGAUUACAUUAAAUUUAUUUAUGGAUAGUGAAUAUGGAAAUUUUCUUGAAAUUGGAUUUGAAAGUAAUUUCUAUUAGAAUAUAGAUUUGAUUUUAGCUCUAGAUUAUGUACACACCG